AGCAGGAAUGACUAUUUCACAUAACGAAGUCUAUUUUGUAAUUAAGUCUCCAGUCUAAUUUUACUUAUUCUUUUGUAAAUGUCAUCUUGUAACCAGUCUUUGCUAGUCUACUUAAUUUCGUGACCAUUUAUUUCUCAUGGAUUUCAUGGUGUUUUUAUUAUAUAAAUGGGAGGCCCAUACAAUUACUUCUGUUUAUGUUUAAUCUAGUGUGUAAAACAUUUAUUUAUUGUAACUUUAUGUGUCAAGUUGAGACAGGGCCUCUAAUGGGCAAUGGUAUAUAAGCCUGUGAUUGCUAUGUUAUUUUGCUUUUUCUCACCAACACUGAAGGCAGCUCCUGCCUACGUUAACGAGAAAAGUCAGUAGGAACUAUUUUAUUUUUAGUGGCUUAAAUUCUAAAUAUUUAUUUAGUUUAUUAUUAUAAAGAGUCUGUUGAAACCAUCCUGGUAUAUUAGUGUAUUUUAAUAUCUAUUCGGUUCUAUUAUCCAAUCAGUCAGUUAAAACAUUUAGUCUGUUGGUGUGUAUUCUAGUGUUUAGUAUUGUACUUCCAAAUAAACUGCGUAUAAUGGCA